ACGGGGAGGCUGCGGGUGAAGAUGUUCGGCUCGUCAGAAAUCGGGAGCGUUUGAACAAAUUAGUGCCAAAGCAGGCGUGCUGGGAGAGUUUGGUUCACCCGUGUCAGCAAUGAAGGCCAAGACGAGAGUUAAACCUGCAAGGGGCUCCCUCACGUAUAACGGGGCACUUUGGAGUUGCCUUAGGAUUUAUUGUCGCCUGUACGCAGUGAAAUGAAAUUGCUGGAAGGAUAGAAGACUGACACCCGUCCCACCUCUGAUGUCACUUCCGUCAUACGCCAUCCAGGACCUGCCUCUUCCUGCCUGGAUCCCAUGUAAACUCCUCUUACUCCACAUCACAGUAGUCUUAUCUUGGACUCUGUUCUGGAAACAUGUUUGAUUGCUGUUUUAUCGUUUUUUUGUUUCCUUAUAUCACAAAGUGCCCCAAGCCUUUAUGCCUUAUCUUGCUCUUUCUUACACUGCGUUUGUCUGCAGGUAAGCUCACACUGUGGUGCACUGGUGCCCCGGCCAGGUGACGUUUCUGCCUUGUGCUCGAUGCCUGCCGGGAUGGGUUCCAGCUCAGGAUGAGGAGAUUUGGAAGCUGGAUGGAUGAGUAUACAAAAAAAUACUGUUUUUUCCAUAAAAUUCUUAGAACAUGUGCACUAAAACCUGUCUUUAACUUGUUAAAACGGGCAUUUGAAGUGUCACGUUUUGAUCUUUGCUUAUAUACAGUUGUCAAGGAGUAAAUUGUUUUCAUAAUCAGAUCACAAAAUAGUGUCAUGUGAGGUAAACCAUAAAUUCAUCCUGACGACAACCAACUAGUGACAAAUGCAUUUCUGAAUCUUAAUGAUUGGAUAAAGAGAAGCAUUCCAUGGACUGUAGCUACUGGGAUGCAAGUCAGGGACUGAUCAUCGCUGGCUGGGUCGCCUGGGUGAGGGUGCCUGAUGUUGUGAGACCAGAAAAGCCCAAUGUCCCCAGGAUACAUCACUGAAGAUGAGUCCCGGUGCGACCGCAGGAUGUAUUUCGACACUACAGACAUUAAUGGAGCAGAGUUACAAUGAUGACCUGACCUUUACGUGAGUCCUGAUUGGCUGACAGGCGUACAUGUAACUGUAAUAAUUAGCAUACAUGGCAGAUGAUUAGAUGCAUCGAAAAACUGAAACAGGGGUACGCUGUAGCUUAGCGUGGUGGCACCCGAGUGAUUCAUAGACAACAGCUUGCCCUUCGCCUCUGAACGUAGGACUGUGUGUCAUGUCAGGCCAGGCCAGUAUUUAGAGACUUGUGUCAAAUUUAUGCAGUGGUUUUUCUAAACGUCACAAGUUAAUAGAAAGAAAAAACAUGAGCCCUGCCCAAAGACACUGGGAGACACAUUCCACAUUCCAUAUCCUGAUGGGAAUUACCUAUUGACAUCAUUUGAAGACACCUCUCUUUAUUCCUGGAAUUGUUAGGUUCUCCAGGUUUCCAGUUUGAAUAAUCCCACUUGGAUCCAUCAAUCCAUUUCCAGUCCCCCACCUAAGGGACAAGAAUUAUUGUAAGCUGCUGUUCUUUUCAUAUGCACACAGUGGAUACUCGGACCUCAAACCAGUUUACCUUCUCACAGGCGCAGCCUCCAAGCCAGGUGGCGGGACCACUCUUGUCAAUACUUCGAAUGAGGCUGUUGACA